AUAUGGGUCAAUGGACGCAAGUCUGAACCAGCCAUGCCGCGUGGAGGAUGAAGGUCCUCUGGAUUGUAAACUUCUUUUAUUUGGGAAGAAAUGCAUCCUUUCUAGGGUGUUUGACGGUACCAGAUGAAUAAGCACCGGCUAACUCCGUGCCAGCAGCCGCGGUAAUACGGAGGGUGCAAGCGUUAUCCGGAUUCAGUGGGUUUAAAGGGUGCGUAGGCGGAUCUGUAAGUCAGUGGAGAAAUCUCCGAGCUUAACUCGGAAACUGCCGUUGAUACUAUAGGUCUUGAAUGUUGUGGAGGUUAGCGGAAUAUGUCAUGUAGCGGUGAAAUGCAUAGAUAUGACAUAGAACACCAAUUGCGAAGGCAGCUGGCUACACAAAU
rnacentral:rRNA from 1 species